CUGCACCAGAAUCAAGCUGCCCUUCCCAUCAAAACAGUAUGCAGUGGCUUCCCAUCCUGCACCACAGCUGCUUCCCACCAUGCAUCACGACUACUGGGGUGUUAAAGCCUGGUCCAUAGCAGUUGUGGGAGACCCAGGGCUCCUUGUCGCAUGAGUGCCAGAGAUUCAGAAGCUGGAAUGUGAACCUCUGUGACAGACAAGGAUAUGAGCACCACGCUACUGCACCAGCACCACGCCUGCUGCCAUGCUCCCUGCCCUGACGUGAAAUGAACUCACCAUCUGGAACACUAGGCUCCAUCUAACUCUUCAUUCUCUACGUUGCCUUGGUCACAGCAUCUUCUCACAGUAACAGAAAAGUGACUGAGACAGCCAGUCAGCUGCCUGCCUCCUAAAGCAGGGUGACAGUUUCACAAGAAAUCGCAACUCCCAAAGGGGGAAAUAGUCUGAAUUUGCCAUCAGGUGAUACACAGCUGCUGGAAAAAGAACCAAAAGGAAUGUCUGACUCCCAGAGCACAGCUGUCACUUGGCAACUAUGUGUGAUGCGGCUCAAGUCACCGGGGAUGAGAAAGGACUCAAGGGACAGGCUUAAUACGGCUCUAGGAAAAGCAGGCUGCCUCUACGUCCUUCAGACCCGAGUUGGGAUUUAAGAGGUGGCAGGAAUCAAAAGACUUUAUUCUGGCCUCCUCCUUUGCAUGUGUUAAAAAAUCAGUCACCUGAA